GAUCAACGCUGGCGGCGUGCCUCAGACAUGCAAGUCGAACGAUUAAAGCUCUCUUCGGAGAGUGUAUAGAGUGGCGCACGGGUGAGUAACACGUAAGUAAUCUACCCUCGAGUGGGGAAUAACAACCGGAAACGGUUGCUAAUACCGCAUAAUGCAGCGGCACCGCAAGGUGACAGUUGUUAAAGAUUUAUCGCUUGAGGAGGAGCUUGCGGCAGAUUAGCUAGUUGGUAGGGUAACGGCUUACCAAGGCUACGAUCUGUAACCGGUCUAAGAGGACGGUCGGUCACACUGACACUGAAUAACGGGUCAGACUCCUACGGGAGGCAGCAGUCGGGAAUUUUGGGCAAUGGGCGAAAGCCUGACCCAGCAACGCCGCGUGAAGGAUGAAGUACUUCGGUAUGUAAACUUCGAAAGAAUAGGAAGAAUUAAUGACGGUACUAUUUAUAAGGUCCGGCUAACUACGUGCCAGCAGCCGCGGUAAU
rnacentral:rRNA from 1 species